AGGAAACUGCAGCUCCAACCAGGGCGGGCUUCCCACAGGCAGCACUGAUUUUCCAGCAGGAGAGAUGGCAAUUCCCACGUUGGUGCAGGUCAUACAGGCACUGCAGGGGACUCAGCUCAGUCGGCUCACCAGAGCCCCAGUUAAUGCGUCCCAAUCAGCCUCAGCCAUUCUCUGCGAGGACUUCUAAAAGGAUUGAAAAGUGUAUGAAAGUGUUAGAUAUUAAUCAUCAGAGACAUAGAUAUAGUUUUAAAGAUCUGUUAGAUAACAAAUAUUAUCUAACAGGUUAGGUAACAUGCUACAAUUUUGUGAUGAACAAAA
rnacentral:lncRNA from 1 species